rfam:Natrialba asiatica DSM 12278 contig_20, whole genome shotgun sequence.
CCUGUCCGGCACGACGCCGCCACAGGACGGAAUGUGAUCCGCGGGGAAUCGUCCUCGCCGGGUUGAACCAUCAC